rnacentral:lncRNA from 1 species
CGUCUCGGCGCCCAGGUGGCCGAGAAUCCAGUUACCAGGUCACUGAGUCACCGAUGCCACUGAUUUCAGUAAAUACUUCUGCCUCCUUCCACUCCUAACCACUAAAAAAGGCUCCCUCUGCGGAUCUGUUUUUCUAGACCAUCCUUGGAGAAACACAGGAGGAGGAGGAUGAGAUUCUUCCAAGGAAAGACUAUGAGGUGAGCUCCUUUGAUACUGCUUGGGCAACUAAAGUAGUGAGUGGCCUGGUCACUUCAGGCCGAAGCAUUGUGAUUCCAACCAGAGAUGCUCUUUGACCUUCUGUCCCAGGGAGUGAGUGGGUAAGAGAACUUCCUUCUAGGAAAGAGACUGUUUAGCAAGCCCUUUUCUCACCUUAACCUCAGAACAAGGUCUGGUGUUCUUACACGUUUAUAAAUCUGUGGCACCUUAACCUGGAUAGAGUAUGUAUUUGCCGUUAAACUGUUUGCUUUUACAGCUUACAGAGAGACUUAGAGUGAAAGGCACUGGCAGGCAGUAUGUGCCCCUAACAGGUGUGUGCUCAUAAACUGUUAAGGAGGCCUUGCUUCUCUUCUAGGAGAGCUUGCUUUUCAGAUAUUUUCUUGCUCAAGCAGCUUCUCUCUGACAUGUUCUUGAUUAAGUUCCAACUUUCAUGUAUGGGAUUCUUAGAGUAUGUGUUUUUAGUAAAGCCAACACCGCUGGGGUGAAACAACAUGCGUGACUUUUUAUCAUUAAAUUCUUAAACGGUAUAAAGAAGGUAGAGAAA